rnacentral:tRNA from 1 species
UCUCUGGUAGUCCAGUGGCUAAGACUCCUCGUUCCCAAUGCAGGGGGCCCAGGUUCGACCCCUGGUCAGGGAG